UUUUAUUGGCUGCCUGUUCCAGACUGAUGCAGCGACGCCGCGUGAGGGAUGACGGCCUUCGGGUUGUAAACCUCUUUCACUAGGGAAGAAGCGUGAGUGACGGUACCUGCAGAAGAAGCGCCGGCUAACUACCUGCCAGCAGCCGCGGUAAUACGUAGGGGGCAAGCGUUGUCCGGAAUUAUUGGGCGUAAAGAGCUCGUAGGCGGUUUGUCGCGUCUGCUGUGAAAGCCCGGGGCUCAACCCCGGGUCUGCAGUGGGUACGGGCAGACUAGAGUGCAGUAGGGGAGACUGGAAUUCCUGGUGUAGCGGUGAAAUGCGCAGAUAUCAGGAGGAACACCGAUGGCGAAGGCGGGUCUCUGGGCUGUUACUGACGCUGAGGAGCGAAAGCAUGGGGAGCGAACAGGAUUAGAUACCCUGGUAGUCCAUGCCGUAAACGUUGGGGGCUAGGUGUGGGGGACAUUCCACGUUUUCCGCGCCGUAGCUAACGCAUUAAGUGCCCCGCCUGGGGAGUACGGCCGCAAGGCUAAAACUCAAAGGAAUUGACGGAGG
rnacentral:rRNA from 1 species